rnacentral:rRNA from 1 species
GACGUAGGGCGCAAGCGUUGUCCGGAUUUAUUGGGCGUAAAGAGCUCGUAGGCGGUUCAGUAAGUCGGGUGUGAAAACUCUGGGCUCAACCCAGAGACGCCACUCGAUACUGCUGUGACUAGAGUCCGGUAGGGGAGCGUGGAAUUCCUGGUGUAGCGGUGAAAUGCGCAGAUAUCAGGAGGAACACCAGCGGCGAAGGCGGCGCUCUGGGCCGGUACUGACGCUGAGGAGCGAAAGCAUGGGGAGCGAACAGG